rnacentral:rRNA from 1 species
AUAGCGUAUAUUAAAGUUGUUGCAGUUAAAAAGCUCGUAGUUGAAUUUCUGGCCAGCUCUGUGCAUGGCUCUCUGAGUCGGUUCAGAGCUUGGUCAUCCGUAUGGGAAGCUAGCUCGGCCUUCGCUGGUCGGCUAGUGGAUCAUACACUUUACUUUGAAAAAAUUAGAGUGUUUCAGGCAGGCAAUUGCUUGGAUACUUCAGCAUGGAAUAAUGGAAUAGGACUUUGACCUAUUUGUUGGUUUCUCGAGGUCAAAGUAAUGAUUAAUAGGGACAGUUGGGGGCAUUCGUAUUUAAUUGUCAGAGGUGAAAUUCUUGGAUUUAUUAAAGACGAACUUAUG